UUUGAUCCUGGCUCAGGAUGAACGCUAGCUACAGGCUUAACACAUGCAAGUCGAGGGGCAGCAUGGUCUUAGCUUGCUAAGACUGAUGGCGACCGGCGCACGGGUGAGUAACACGUAUCCAACCUGCCGUCUACUCUUGGACAGCCUUCUGAAAGGAAGAUUAAUACAAGAUGGCAUCAUGAGUCCGCAUGUUCACAUGAUUAAAGGUAUUCCGGUAGACGAUGGGGAUGCGUUCCAUUAGAUAGUAGGCGGGGUAACGGCCCACCUAGUCUUCGAUGGAUAGGGGUUCUGAGAGGAAGGUCCCCCACAUUGGAACUGAGACACGGUCCAAACUCCUACGGGAGGCAGCAGUGAGGAAUAUUGGUCAAUGGGCGAGAGCCUGAACCAGCCAAGUAGCGUGAAGGAUGACUGCCCUAUGGGUUGUAAACUUCUUUUAUAAAGGAAUAAAGUCGGGUAUGCAUACCCGUUUGCAUGUACUUUAUGAAUAAGGAUCGGCUAACUCCGUGCCAGCAGCCGCGGUAAUACGGAGGAUCCGAGCGUUAUCCGGAUUUAUUGGGUUUAAAGGGAGCGUAGAUGGAUGUUUAAGUCAGUUGUGAAAGUUUGCGGCUCAACCGUAAAAUUGCAGUUGAUACUGGAUAUCUUGAGUGCAGUUGAGGCAGGCGGAAUUCGUGGUGUAGCGGUGAAAUGCUUAGAUAUCACGAAGAACUCCGAUUGCGAAGGCAGCCUGCUAAGCUGCAACUGACAUUGAGGCUCGAAAGUGUGGGUAUCAAACAGGAUUAGAUACCCUGGUAGUCCACACGGUAAACGAUGAAUACUCGCUGUUUGCGAUAUACUGCAAGCGGCCAAGCGAAAGCGUUAAGUAUUCCACCUGGGGAGUACGCCGGCAACGGUGAAACUCAAAGGAAUUGACGGGGGCCCGCACAAGCGGAGGAACAUGUGGUUUAAUUCGAUGAUACGCGAGGAACCUUACCCGGGCUUAAAUUGCAGAUGAAUUACGGUGAAAGCCGUAAGCCGCAAGGCAUCUGUGAAGGUGCUGCGUGGUUGUCGUCAGCUCGUGCCGUGAGGUGUCGGCUUAAGUGCCAUAACGAGCGCAACCCUUGUUGUCAGUUACUAACAGGUUCCGCUGAGGACUCUGACAAGACUGCCAUCGUAAGAUGUGAGGAAGGUGGGGAUGACGUCAAAUCAGCACGGCCCUUACGUCCGGGGCUACACACGUGUUACAAUGGGGGGUACAGAGGGCCGCUACCACGCGAGUGGAUGCCAAUCCCCAAAACCUCUCUCAGUUCGGACUGGAGUCUGCAACCCGACUCCACGAAGCUGGAUUCGCUAGUAAUCGCGCAUCAGCCACGGCGCGGUGAAUACGUUCCCGGGCCUUGUACACACCGCCCGUCAAGCCAUGGGAGCCGGGGGUACCUGAAGUGCGUAACCGCGAGGAGUGCCCUAGGGUAAAACUGGUGACUGGGGCUAAGUCGUAACAAGGUAACCA
rnacentral:rRNA from 1 species